rnacentral:rRNA from 2 species
GGGUUGUGAGGUUAAGCGACUAAGCGUACACGGUGGAUGCCCAGGCAGUCAGAGGCGAUGAAGGACGUGCUAAUCUGCGUAAAGCGACGGUAAGGUGAUAUGAACCGCUACAGCCGUCGAUGUCCGAAUGGGGAAACCCGGUGCACUCUGUGCAUCAUUGCAGCAUGAAUACAUAGUGCUGCAAGGCGAACCGGGGGAACUGAAACAUCUAAGUACCCCGAGGAAAAGAAAUCAACCGAGAUUCCCCCAGUAGCGGCGAGCGAACGGGGAGCAGCCCAGAGCCUGAAUCAGUUUGUGUGUUAGUGGAAGCGUCUGGAAAGUCGCAGGGUACAGGGUGAUACUCCCGUACACAAAAGCACACAUGCUGUGAGCUCGAUGAGUAAGGCGGGACACGUGGUAUCCUGUCUGAAUAUGGGGGGACCAUCCUCCAAGGCUAAAUACUCCUGACUGACCGAUAGUGAACCAGUACCGUGAGGGAAAGGCGAAAAGAACCCCGGCGAGGGGAGUGAAACAGAACCUGAAACCGUGUACGUACAAGCAGUGGGAGCCUUGAUUUAUCAGGGUGACUGCGUACCUUUUGUAUAAUGGGUCAGCGACUUA